CCUACGGGUGGCAGCAGUGAGGAAUAUUGGUCAAUGGACGAGAGUCUGAACCAGCCAAGUAGCGUGAAGGAUGACUGCCCUAUGGGUUGUAAACUUCUUUUAUAAAGGAAUAAAACGAGGCACGUGUGCCUUUUUGCAUGUACUUUAUGAAUAAGGAUCGGCUAACUCCGUGCCAGCAGCCGCGGUAAUACGGAGGAUCCAAGCGUUAUCCGGAUUUAUUGGGUUUAAAGGGUGCGUAGGCGGAUUGAUAAGUUAGAGGUGAAAUGUCCGAGCUUAACUCGGGAACUGCCUCUAAUACUGUUGAUCUAGAGAGUAGAUGCGGUAGAGGUAAAGGGAAUUCCUGGUGUAGCGGUGAAAUGCUUAGAUAUCAGGAGGAACAUCGGUGGCGUAAGCGCUUUACUGGGCCGUAAUUGAUGCUCGAAAGUGUGGGUAUCAAACAGGAUUAGAUACCCGAGUAGUC
rnacentral:rRNA from 1 species